UGUACAUCUGGCAACGUCCUUGGGACAAAUAUUCGUCUGAAUUGCUGCCAUCGCCAUUUCCAUCGCCAUCGCUAGGGUCACACGUCAUCUUAUCUUUUGUCCCAACUUUAAUAUCUUAAGUGUUUCAACGAGUGGGACAGUUGAACAUGGAGAGGUGUCAGUUUGGGACUUGAUUUGUCACACAUUGGUCGAAAUGGAAAAAGAGCAUGGUUUUGGUAAUGGAUCAAAAAAGUUAUUCCCACACUCAUCUUUAAGAUCUUGGAAUGCUCACUGUUGUCACGAAAUAUUAUCAUUUGUUUGGCCCCGAAUUAUCUACGUCAUUUCUACUCGAAUAGAACAUGGAGCCGAUUACCAGAUCUUACAUCGAAAUGUUUGAGGAGAUACAUGGAUUAGAGGCAUGUUGCAGGGAUGUUCCAGAAAGCAGGUUUCGAAGAACAAAAAUCUGAUUUAAAGGCUCGUCAACACAACGUAUAUUGUUUAACUUUGUUUUCUUGACUUGAUGGUGAAAUUGAAUUAAAUCGAAAGUUGAAAGUUA